AACGAACGCUGGCGGCAGGCCUAACACAUGCAAGUCGAACGGACCCUUCGGGGUUAGUGGCGGACGGGUGAGUAACACGUGGGAACGUGCCUUUAGGUUCGGAAUAGCUCCUGGAAACGGGUGGUAAUGCCGAAUGUGCCCUUCGGGGGAAAGAUUUAUCGCCUUUAGAGCGGCCCGCGUCUGAUUAGCUAGUUGGUGAGGUAAUGGCUCACCAAGGCGACGAUCAGUAGCUGGUCUGAGAGGAUGACCAGCCACAUUGGGACUGAGACACGGCCCAAACUCCUACGGGAGGCAGCAGUGGGGAAUCUUGCGCAAUGGGCGAAAGCCCGACGCAGCCAUGCCGCGUGGAUGAUGAAGGUCUUAGGAUUGUAAAAUCCUUUCACCGGUGAAGAUAAUGACUGUAGCCGGAGAAGAAGCCCCGGCUAACUUCGUGCCAGCAGCCGCCGUAACAC
rnacentral:rRNA from 1 species